UACGAAGGGGGCUAGCGUUGCUCGGAAUCACUGGGCGUAAAGGGUGCGUAGGCGGGUCUUUAAGUCAGGGGUGAAAUCCUGGAGCUCAACUCCAGAACUGCCUUUGAUACUGAGGAUCUUGAGUCCGGGAGAGGUGAGUGGAACUGCGAGUGUAGAGGUGAAAUUCGUAGAUAUUCGCAAGAACACCAGUGGCGAAGGCGGCUCACUGGCCCGGUACUGACGCUGAGAAGCGAAAGCAUGGGGAGCGAACAGG
rnacentral:rRNA from 1 species